GUGCUGAUCACAGACCUCAGGGCAGAGUGUGCUGUGGAAGUGAAUUAUAACACAUCUAAGAAAUCAAGCCCUGAUUCUGAAGAACUUCUUAAACUGAUUGUCCUUCCAACCAAAAACUUCUGUCUAUGAUUAGAUAGUUGUGAUUGUAUUAAGCGAGCUGAAAAUGCAAUUCCUCAAGCUCUGAACAUUUCUGAAUUAGUACAGUGGAAGAAAAGUUGUUCUGCCCAGAAAAAAACCCCUGGUUUCUGCACGGAAAAGUGGAACUGCAGUUCAAGCUCCAGCUUCCAGCAGUUGAAAACUUGGACAAUUGCUUUGGGAACAUUUCUCUUCAAAAGGCUCAUCACAGAGGUAUGGAUAUUUAUCCACUGCAAGGAAGCAUGAAUUGUGUGCUUGUGUUCUCACUGAGGUCGCAAAAGGAGGAUUUAGCCAUCAUUAAGUUAGACUGGGAAAAUAUUCAGAGUACAAACUACAAAACGAAAGUUUCCUAUUGAGAUCUUUCCUAAUAAGUUUGCUUGCAUUCGCUCAGGUUAAGUAGAUCGAUAUAUAAAAUUCUC
rnacentral:lncRNA from 1 species